CAUCUGGGCAGAGGGAUCCUCCUCCCAUCAUCACUGGAGUGAAUGCCACCACUGAUGUGGAGCAAUAGCCUUCCUGCUUCUGAUGGUGACCAUACCCCUCCACUGCAGGAGGACUGAAUCCUGUCAAAGGGAGGACUCUCUCUUUAAACUGGUAAACACCAAAAGCACAGAAGGAAGGCCUCAAUUAAAAAUCUGAUGGUUCUCAUGAAAGACCACAACUCCACAGUAGGGACCUGCAAAGAUCUUCUUGAUUGCACCCUCACCUGGAGCACAGGGCAUGGGGACAGAUGCUGAAUCUCAUCAGGUUCCUACACCAUGAAGUACAUAUUUCAUCUGCCUGGGAGUUGAUCUGUUGCUGCUCAGCGAUGGUGCUGCCUGCUGUCCUGCCUGUUUGCUCACCAUGCAGUAUCACUCCCCACGACUAAUUUAAAUCUCAAGGAAGGAAUUCAGAAUGCACAAAGCAAUGGAAAAUGGUAUGAAUGGACACUCUAAUUGGCAGGAAUAUCAAAA